GGCGUCGGCCUCGAAGUCGUAGCGCACGAACACCCCGAAGAGAAUCACCAUAACCACCUGCAGGAGCAGGCAGGGCACAUGAAAAACAAGGAAUAUUUGGGACACUGUCACACAACAGAGCGGCCUGGGGAGACAUCUGUGAUGUGCUACCCCAGACCUGACCCUGGAACAGAAAAAGGAUGUUAAUUGGAAAACUGGUAAAAUCCAAAUAAAGCCUGAAAAUUAGUUAA